rnacentral:rRNA from 1 species
UACGGGGGGAGCAAGCGUUGUUCGGAUUUACUGGGCGUAAAGGGCGCGUAGGCGGCGCAACAAGUCACUUGUGAAAUCUCCGGGCUUAACUCGGAACGGCCAAGUGAUACUGCAGUGCUAGAGUGUGGAAGGGGCAAUCGGAAUUCUUGGUGUAGCGGUGAAAUGCGUAGAUAUCAAGAGGAACACCUGAGGUGAAGACGGGUUGCUGGGCCAACACUGACGCUGAGGCGCGAAAGCCAGGGGAGCAAACGGG